rnacentral:lncRNA from 1 species
GUUGUCAUACUAUAGUGAUACAUAGAUACCCAUGUUUAUAGUCGUGCAGUUCACAAGAACCAACUAUAGAACCAGCCUAGGUGUUUAUCAAAGGGUGAAUGGAUAAAGAAAAUGUGGUAUAUACGUAAUGGAGUUUUAUUCAGCUAUAAAGGAAAAUGAAAUUAUGGCAGUUACAGGAAAAUGUAUGGAACUAGAAACUUUAUGUUAAGCAAAAUAAAUCAAACAGAAGGUUAAGGAUCCUUUGUUUUCUCAUGAGGAAGCUAGAGAGGAAAAAAGGAAAAGAAAGGUGCAGUGGAUCUUAUUGAAAUCAAAGAAAGAUCAGUAGAGGAAAGGGAGGGACCAAGGGGUGGGAGAUGGGUAGAAUGGGAGAAGUGCUAAAGAGUGAUAUUAGCCAAAUUAUAUUGUUACGUGGUCUUCAUGUAUGAAUGUGUAACAGUAAAUCCCAUUAUUAUGAACAAUUGUAAUGCACCAAUAAAUUGAAAAAGAAAAAAAUAAAAACAGAAAUUGAAAAAGGAAAAAAAGAAAUACUUACUGUGUGGUAGUG